CACUGGAAAAUACUUGAAAAACAUGUGAGUUGCAGGGAUUUGACAAAAACAUCCUUUUAGAAAUGCGUGAGGAAGGUCAAGACUCUGGUCUCCAGCUCACCGCUCUCUCUUACAUUUCCAUGGCCAUUUUGUCCGAUAGUAUUAUUGGAUUUUUCUAUGCUAUAUAUAUAUAUUUUAUGUUU